rnacentral:rRNA from 1 species
CCUGGCUCAGAACGAACGCUGGCGGCGCGUUUUAAGCAUGCAAGUCGAACGGUAGAGUAGUGCUUGCACUACUUGAGAGUGGCGAACGGGCGAGUAACACGUAGGUGAUCUAUCUUUGGAUUUGGGAUAGCCUGUGGAAACACAGGGUAAUACCGGAUACGAGCUGGAAGCUGUAGCUUUCAGUGGGAAAGGCCCUUAGGGGUCGUCCGAAGCUGAGCCUGCGGUCCAUUAGCUGGUUGGUGUGGUAAUGGCGCACCAAGGCGACGAUGGAUAGCCGGCCUGAGAGGGUGCUCGGCCACACUGGGACUGAGACACGGCCCAGACUCCUACGGGAGGCAGCAGCUAAGAAUCCUCCGCAAUGGGCGAAAGCCUGACGGAGCGACGCCGCGUGAACGAUGAAGGCCGUGAGGUUGUAAAGUUCUUUUCCUGGGGGAGAAUAACAGCCGGAGGGAAUGCCGGUUGGAUGACGUGAACCAGGGAAUAAGCCCCGGCUAAUUACGUGCCAGCAGCCGCGGUAACACGUAAGGGGCGAGCGUUGUUCGGAUUUAUUGGGCGUAAAGGGCGUGUAGGCGGUAGUGCAAGUCUGGUGUGAAAUACCCCGGUUCAACCGGGGAGGCGCGCUGGAAACUGUGCUGCUUGAGUCUAGGAGGGGGAGCUGGAAUUCCUGGUGUAGGGGUGAAAUCUGUAGAGAUCAGGAAGAACACCGGCGGCGAAGGCGAGCUCCUGGCCAUAGACUGACGCUGAGGCGCGAAAGCGUGGGGAGCGAACAGGAUUAGAUACCCUGGUAGUCCACGCUGUAAACGAUGUGCACUAGGUGUUGGGACUGAUGAAAGUCUCGGUGCCG